rnacentral:misc_RNA from 1 species
UUAACAGUUCGCUUAGAACACUCAGAUGUAUCGUCGGGUUCGAACAGAGAUUCUGAUUAUGCCGGCGGGCACGCCCCGAGAGGCGCGCCGCCGAAGCAACAGGUAUAAAGGUUCACAAAGGGUUAUGAGUUAAGUACUCGGUAAUGAUCCCUCCGCUGGUUCACCAACGGAGA